CCUACGGGGCGCAGUAGUGGGGAAUAUUGCACAAUGGGGGGAACCCUGAUGCAGCGACGCCGCGUGGGUGAGGAAGUACUUCGGUAUGUAAAGCCCUAUCAGCAGAGAAGAAAAUGACGGUACCUGACUAAGAAGCCCCGGCUAACUACGUGCCAGCAGCCGCGGUAAUACGUAGGGGGCAAGCGUUAUCAGGAUUUACUGGGUGUAAAGGGAGCGUAGACGGCGUGGCAAGUCUGGUGUGAAAGCCCGGGGCUCAACCCCGGGACUGCAUUGGAAACUGGCAUGCUGGAGUGCCGGAGUGGCAAGCGGAAUUCCUAGUGUAGCGGUGAAAUGCGUAGAUAUUAGGAGGAACACCAGUGGCGAAGGCGGCUUGCUGGACAGUAACUGACGUUGAGGUUCGAAAGCGUGGGGAGCAAACAGGAUUAGAUACCCGAGUAGUC
rnacentral:rRNA from 1 species